rnacentral:rRNA from 1 species
UGGGGAAUAUUGCACAAUGGGCGAAAGCCUGAUGCAGCAACGCCGCGUGAAGGAAGAAGGGUUUCGGCUCGUAAACUCCUAUCAAUCGGGAAGAAAGAAAUGACGGUACCGAAAUAAGAAGCCCCGGCUAACUUCGUGCCAGCAGCCGCGGUAAUACGAAGGGGGCAAGCGUUGUUCGGAAUUACUGGGCGUAAAGCGCACGCAGGCGGCGUGACGCGUCAGAAGUGAAAUCCCCGGGCUCAACCUGGGAACUGCUUUUGAAACGGUCAUGCUUGAAUCAUGGAGAGGGUAGCGGAAUUCCGAGUGUAGAGGUGAAAUGCUUAGAUAUCACGAAGAACUCCGAUUGCGUAGGCAGCUUACUAAACUAUAACUGACACUGAGGCACGAAAGUGUGGGUAUCAAACA